GAACGGGUGCUAAUUGCCCGAAAGGGUGAUUAGCGCUAGUGGCGGACGGGUGAGUAACACGUGGGCAACCUGCCUGAGAGUGCGGAAUAACCCUGCGAAAGCAGAGCUAAUACUGCAUGUGGUUGUCGGAUGGCAUCAUCUGACAACUAAAGUCGCAAGACGCUCUCAGAUGGGCCCGCGGCCUAUUAGCUAGUUGGUGAGGUGACGGCCCACCAAGGCGAUGAUGGGUAGCUGGUCUGAGAGGACGACCAGCCACACUGGGACUGAGACACGGCCCAUACUCCUACGGGAGGCAGCAGUGGGGAAUUUUGGACAAUGGGGGCAACCCUGAUCCAGCAAUGCCGCGUGUGUGAAGAAGGCCUUCGGGUUGUAAAGCACUUUUGUCCGGAAAGAAAACCUAUGGGUUAAUACCCCGUGGGGAUGACGGUACCGGAAGAAUAAGCACCGGCUAACUACGUGCCAGCAGCCGCGGGUAUA
rnacentral:rRNA from 1 species